GUGACUGCUCGUUAAACGGCCGCGGUACUCUGACCGUGCAAAGGUAGCGUAAUCACUUGUCUUUUAAAUAAAGACUAGUAUGAAUGGCAUCACGAGAACUAAUCUGUCUCCCUCCCCCAAUCAGUGAAACUGAUCUCCCCGUGCAGAAGCGGGGAUAAUACCAUAAGACGAGAAGACCCUGUGGAGCUUUAAAUCAAAAAUCAACUGCUAUACCUUACCCCUGAGGACACACUUCUAUAGACUUGACUUAGAUUUUUAGCUGGGGCGGCUGUGGAGAAAAGAGAAUCCUCCACGAAAUUCUACUCCAAGGGCUACUGCCCUAAGUAAUAAUAAAUUAAUUUAAUUGACCCAAUUUUUGAUCAACGAACCA
rnacentral:rRNA from 1 species